AAGUCGUAACAAGGUUUCCGUAGGUGAACCUGCGGAAGGAUCAUUAAUGAUUGCGAAUGGUUGCCUUCGGUGCUGGCUCUUGCAAGUGCACGUUGGUGGCUUUCAUCCAAUACCCCUGUGAACCUUUGGCCUCUUGCUAGCUUCGGCGUGCAGAGGAUUUUUACACACUCGAAUGUAAUGAAAACUAUUGUCGUGCGCAAGCACUAAUGUACAACUUUCAACAACGGAUCUCUUGGCUCUCGCAUCGAUGAAGAACGCAGCGAAAUGCGAUAAGUAAUGUGAAUUGCAGAAUUCAGUGAAUCAUCGAAUCUUUGAACGCACCUUGCACCCUUUGGUAUUCCGAAGGGUAUGCUCGUUUGAGUGUCAUUGUACUCUCACACUCUCUGAUCCUUUGGAUUCAGGGAGUGGUGGACUUGGGUGUUUGCUGCUUUCCCGGUGGCUCACCUCAAAUGCGUUAGUGCACCUCUUGGUUGGACAUAGUACGGCGUGAUAAGUAUCUUCGCCGGCACCUCGCAAGAGGGUGGCCGAUUGGGAGCUCUGUGCUUUCAAACCGUCUUCGGACAAUCUUGACAACUUGACCUCAAAUCGAGUAGGACUACCCGCUGAACUUAA
rnacentral:rRNA from 1 species